rnacentral:lncRNA from 1 species
CUCGGCCUCCCAGAGUGCUGGGAUUACAGGUGUGAGCCACCACACCCAACCACUUUCUUUCAUCUCUCUUGGAAAUACACCCAUCUUAUCCAUGGUUAUGCCCUAUUUCCUGGAACAUUGUCUGGCUCAAUACAUAUUAGUUGGAUGAAUGAAUGCAUCUCUGAAUUCCAACCAAAUACUUAUUGAUUGUUAGUCACCUGGCAGGCCUUGGGAGAGGGUGACAGGGGCAAGCUCAGCCAUAACAAAAAUUUACCUUUAAGUCCCACUGUCCCCACUGGUCUUUGGCCUCAUGGGCUUCCUGUGGCAUCCUAGGCAUGGUUCAGACCUAAGCCACUCUGGCAGCCCCAUCUCCAGCCCUGGUGGAGCUUAGAGUAAGCACUGCUCUCCAUGUAGCCUAGAGAUAUAUUCAUCCACUCUAUUUAUUCAUGUAUUUAUUCAUUCCACUAAUUCAUUCACUCAUGCAAUAAACAGCCCUAGUACUGGACCAUGGGGAUAAUGAGACAGAGAGAGUUCCUGCCUGUGAGUUCCCCAUAGCUUAGGGUCACAAGUAUAAGCAGAUAUGAAAACAGUUCGAUAAAUGGCCACUACAGGAGUAAGCACAGGGUGCCAUGGGGGUAGGGAGCAGGGGUGCCUAAUCCAAUCUGGGAGACAAGGAAUAUUUCAUACCCACCUACAGCUGCCAUUUAUUCACAGCUUUCUAUGUGCCAAGUACUCUGCCAAGCCCUUUACAUUCAUUUCUCCAAUUUACUCCUAAUAACAACCCUAUGAAGAAGGUGCUUGCUAUCCUGUCCAUUUUACAGAUGGGCAAACUGAGACUCAGAAAUGGGCAGUGACUUUCCCAAGGUCUUAGAACUUGUAUGGGCUAGUGUUGAGAUUUAACUCUAAUGUCAGGGCUCCUAGCAACUGUUCUGUAUGCCCCCUGUGCAGACCACCUCCUAUGCUAGUGAGGUUCCAUUUCAGUUGCAUCUUGAAGGGUAAGUAUGAGUCUGCUGGGCAAAUUGGCUGCCGUCAGCAUGAUGGUGGGAGGAAUUGUAGAGUGUGACGAUAUGGUUUGGAGGUUGCAAAAAGGCAUCUUAGACAAAAGGAGACAACAUGGGCAAAGAAACGGGUUGAAAACAGCAUUGUGUCUAGGGCAAACAAAUGGAAGAUGAUUUCUUCUCACCCAUCUUAGUAGAGAAAUUCUACAGGGGAUCUGUAACCCUGACGAUCCGUUGCAAUCAGAACCUUUGGGUGACUGUUGAGUCUUUAGACAUCAUACAGGAAAAUCUUGGUGGAAAGAAAAAUUAUAGCUGGCCCUUGUGGAUUUUGUAGUUUUGGGCCAGGAAGACUAAAAACAAUCUCAAUUCUGGUCUCAGGAAGAGGAGUGAGAGUAUGGGUCUGCCCAGUGGCUGAGUGGGUAGGUGAACUGGCUGGGUUAGCUGCUGCUGUUGGGGAGGGGGAGUUUCUAUUUCUUUCUCUCCCCUUCAGAUCUUUCUCCUUGCUUUUCACAUACCCAUCUUUCUCCUUGCUUUCCACAUAUACUGACUGAACAUUACCUGUGUGUCUAGUUUGGCGCUGUGGUAGAUACAUGGAUAAAGUAGGUCUGACCCCUGCUCUCAAAGUAUCUACAGUCUAGGAGGGAAAAUGGAAUAUUUUGAUAGAUAUGCUCAUUGAUAUGCUAAUAUUGACAGAUAUGUUAAUAUCUAUGGAUAUGUUCCAUUUCCCCUCCUAGACUGUAGAUAAUCAUCAGAGGGUUGCAUCAUUUACAAAGUGCAUUUAGUUGGAUAUACAUAUUUAGGAACCCAUGUGUGGCCAGGUGUGGGAAAGCAGAGAUAAAUGUUGCAGAAUCCCUGUUUCCGAGAAGCCGAAUUAUAGGAGAGGAACUCCUGAAGCAGAGUGUUAUGGGGGAAGCAUGUGAAAGGCACCGAGGAGCACUGAGGAAGGAGGGGAGGAGUUAGGGAAGCCACAGACAUGUUUCAUCCUUAAAGCCAGGCCUUUAUCCUGCCAGAGACAAUCCCAUUCAUGUUUCAUUUUGAUGGUCUUUGAAGAAAUAAAAUUUGGAUUGAUUAUUUCAGAAUCCUUCAUGACUGUGAAAUCCAUAUGAUGAGCUCCAUUUUUCCAUUGAAGGAACAGAGGCCCAGAGCAGUGAAGUGACUCACUCAAGGUCAAACAGCUGGCACAUGGCCAAGCUGGGCUAACCAGGUCUUUUGACUCAUGUUCUUUCUGAGACGGCCCACUGCCUCUACAAGGGAGAGAGUGACAAGUGCCUUGUGCCCAUGCACCAUCUACUUUUAGCUCUUUCCUUGGACCAAGGCCCAGAAAGUGCCCCGUUGUGUCACAUCUGUUCAAGCCUGUGGGUGAUCUGUGGGCUCUGGCUUAAUCCGGUAGAAGGAUUUAGUAACAUAGGUUGCCUGGCCUCUCAGUGGGAGAGCUGGUUAAUCUCCCACAAUCCUUGUUGUUCCAGCUCCUUCCCUUAGUUACGCUGAUUGGACUGAGGCUUGGAGCCCCAUUUUGGGGUCUUUGAAAAGUGAAUGGCAGCAGUCACUCUGAAGGUUUCCCUGAAGAUGCAUUGAGAUUCAGGGCUUAAAUGGGGCACAGGGUAAAGCUGCCUUGUCCCAGGCAGUGAGGCAUACAAAAGUGGGUGGGGUUCUCUGAAGCAGUUGCAAAAAAAGGGAAGGAAAGGGCAUCCACACUGACUGAGUUAGCACAUUGUGCAUAGCAUAGCAAAUUUACAUACAUUUGAGAGGAAACAUUCACCGCCAAAGGACAUGAAGAUUUUGCAGUAAGCUUCAAAGACUCGUCUUGAUGAUAUAGUCACUUCCUUGUCAUUUUUUUCUGCUAGAAUAGCAAUCUCCUUAAAAUGAUGUAGGUGAAAGCAUCCUGUUCCAUGCCCACCUGGAAGCCCCUCUCUCGUGUUUCACAGAUGGAUGGGAGGAAAGUGGUGCAGAGAUGUCAAGCAAGAUCACAGAAUUAAUCAUUGCAGAAGAGACUUGAAUUUAGGGCUUGGACUCCAGGACAGCAUGUGGGACAAACGGAACACUUCUAAGGCCACUGAGCCCUUAGGAGGAGGGUAGAGUUGGGGGGUUCAUGCCCAAUACAUGGGCAUGUUUGCUGAAUGCAUACAAUCCAGAUGAGAUGGGUGGGGGCAAAGAGACUGCUUGGCCCAGUGCUAGGCUCUGUGGUCAGGUGCUCACAGAGACAUGCCUGCAGCUCCCACUUUUUCUAGAGGAGCCAGUCAGAUCCCAGCUCUGGAGGGCAAAGGCCAUUCCUCUGAGAGAAUGACCUCUUUCUCUCAAGAAGCUCCUUCUUUUAGAACAGUGGCUACUCCAGCCCCAGCCAUCGAACACAACUGAACCAAGAAAUAAAUGGUUCUCAUGGCCAGGGAGACGCUUCUACAGUUUAAUUUGGCAUAAUUAUACAUUCCCUCAAUAGGUUUUGUGAUGUGCAUUGUUAUUUCAGCAAAAAAUUGUUUGAGUAUAAAAAGUUUUUUAUUAUAAAGAAAAAUCGUUUUUUUUUUUGUUUGUUUUUUUCAAGGUCUUUAUCAUCCCCCUAGGGCUGGUUCUUUCCCACAUUCGUGACAGACAGAUCCUGGGGUUGCUUUCCCCCCUUUCCUAAUUCAUGCUUUGAAGAGAGAGGGAAGCCUAAAUGAUAUGGUAUGACGCUAGGGGCUGUGAAGGCCAGAGGAAGGCCAGGUCAAUGGUGAAGGGAGAAGUGUGCCUCCUUGAAAUGGAGAUGGUGUCAGCCUCCCUGAGCCAGGCUGUGUCUGGUCAAGGACACAGACACUGUAUGCUGGCAGAUAUACUGUACUUACUCAGGACUCAAAUCCUGGGUCGGCCACUUGCUAGCUGUGUGACAUUUGACAAGGUGCUCAACCUUGCCCUUUCCUUCAGUCUAGUUUGCUUUCCAAACUGAGGUAAAAAUAUUCCUGAGAGAAGUGUGUCACUGCUGGAGGAUAUAAAGUCACUCAAUCAAUAAACAUGGCAUUUGCUAAUGAAGCACCAGUUUUAUCAAAACAUUGGUGGUGGUGGUGGUGGUUGUGUGUGUGUGUGUGUACCUUGGCAAUAAUAAUAUAAUAUUUACAUUCAAACAAAUACAGCUAUUUAGUGGAAGAGAUAGUCAAAUGCUCAUGAAUUUUAAGGCUGAACAGGGAGCUUUGAAGCCUCUUAAUGUUUGCCUUGGCCUACUUUUGCCUAUAUAUUCUCUCUUGGUGCUUACCCAUUCUCUCUUUUUCCCUGUUUCAAGGUCCUGCAGAGAUAAAUGUGACAGAAAGCUGUUUCUUCUAUGAAAUGAAAAUGACAUCCCCUGCCCAAGAGCAGUGGUAUAAUAAUUCCAUAAGAUAAUGUAUUUAAAAUCAUUCAAGGUUUGCUGAUAAGCCAUUAGCUACAACACCAAAGGUACAAGGCAUGAGAGAAAAAGCUGGGAAACAAGACUGCAAAGCAGCGUCCCCUUUGUAUAUAUUCAACAGAGUUCUCCCUUUGCUGUUGUUCUCCGGGUUCUUUUGCACAAAUUACAUGUUCCUCCUACCCUGGCUUUAAUCAUCACAACCUUGAAUCCUCAUCAAACUCUCUGCCUAUCUCAAACCAGUGCUUAAAGGACACUCUUACCCUUAGAAGAAAUGGUAUAAUUUUCAUAAACAUGGGUCAUUUCCCCCUUGCAUAAAUGUCAGAUACAAAACCGCCACUUAACAAGAUGUGCCAGAAAUACAGAAUGUCUGAACAAAGGCUGUUGACAAUAGCAUCUUUUUUCCUUUUUUGUAGUUCUGUGAAAUUGCUCUCCCAAAAUAUUCCUAAUGCUUUAUUUACUUCAGUGUUGGGUUUAUUUUGGGAUAAACUUUCCUGAAGCUGAAUCUUAGGAUGUGAUUCUUAUCCUGGUCACAUCCUGGGGAGUUGUUUUGUGACUUUUUUGAAUGGGCCCUGGCUCUUCCAGGGAGCCCCUGGUGCUGAGGAAGAGGCAGGGGCCAGAGGAUGUCAACUCCCGUGUGCGGAACACAGACAGAGAUGACGAACCAUCAGCUUCGGUGGAAAUACUCCCCAAAGGAGAGCCUGCGCCGCCUGGUCUCCAACAAUGGCAGAAGUGAACCCAGCUCAGACUUUAUCAAUGAUCUGUUCCGGAGAGUGGUGUGUCUCAUAGUUUCCAACAUCUGAGUGAUUUGUGACUAUUAGGAAUUCAGACACUGGAUGAUUAAAACCGCUGGUGCUGGGAAUUUUCUCAUUUCAGGAAAUUUUGGUUGUGAGGCAUGCUGGAACCUUACCAGCCAGCAGACACGAAGGGGAGGAAGUCCAGGCAGGGCCAGGAAUGAGACUGUGGGAAUUGACCAGAAGGCGGCACCACGGCUUAGCUUUCAUGUCAGACAGAUCUGCGUGGGCACCCUGCUUCCCUGAGCCUCAGUUUCUUUGCUAGCAGAGUGGAGGUGAUGAGAGUUGAAUUAAAGAAUGUCAUGCCUGGCACGCAGUAAGGGCUCCAGAUGGGAGUUCUCCUCUCUUUUCUUUCCCUGAGUGGCUAGAAGUCUAAUGAGUGUCUUAAGGGUGAGGUGAACUGAGGUUUUGUCUAGCCUAUGGUUGGUCUGACUUGAGGGAAAGAUGGUCUUCAGUGAGAAUCUAAGCUAGAGCUUGGAGUUCAAGAGACUCGGCCUAGCUCUGAGAGAUGAGGGACAAGGGCUGGCCAAAGAAAGAUUGUCCAGAUCCCAAGGCCUCUGGGCUCAGGGUUGGGCUUUAAUCUGAACUUUGAUCAGUGAGGAAGCUGACAUAGCCCCAGGUUUAUCCUGGAUUAUAUAGUAUAGAGCCAUGGUUCUCAGCGUGGCCUGAGGACCCUGGAGGAACCUGAGGUACUUUUAGAGGUUCAUGAGAUCAGAACUAUUUUUAUAAUGCUACUAAGAUGUAAUUUUCCCUUUUCAUUGGUUGAUGUUUAAACUGAUGGUGUAAAAGCAACAGUGGUAAACAGCUGGUGCUUUAGUUUGGAUCAAGGUAGUGGUAGCAAACUGCAGUAGUUAUCAUUGUAUUAUUCACCACCACAUGUGCACGGUAGGAAGAAAAAAGUCAGUUUCACUUAAUGUCCUUGACGAAGCAAUAAAAAUGAUCAAAUUUAUUAAACUUCAGCCUUCGAGUGUCUGGCCUGUCUUUUUAAUGAUUGGUGUGAUGAGAUAAGAGUAUGGGUAAAGCUUUUCUGUUGCCUACAAAAGCACAGUGGUGGUCUCAAGGAAAAGCACCAGAGUGAGUGAGUGAGUUGGGAGCUGAAGUAGCCAUUUUCUCCAUGGAAAACCAUUUUCCUGGAAAGAACGAUUGACAGACACACUGCAGUUAUUCAGCCAUGGGUAGUUGGCAGACACACACCCACACACACACCUACACACACCCACAGACACACGCACACACAUCCACCCACACAUAUAUAUAUUUAAAUGAUGAAGUCAGAGCUGUUACUUCAAGGAAAACAAAUGACAGUAUGUACGGCCAAUUAUAAAAUUUGAGAGUUCAAAUGAAAAACUGGGAUUUUGGAAAACUUGUAUCCUUCACUGUGAGCUGGUUUCAGAUUCCACAUGGCAGUGACCCUUUAAAAAUCCACCACUUGUCAAGUUUUGGUGUACUAUCAAAGAGGAAUGUCCACAGUUAUCUGAAUAGAUUAUUAAAAUACUUCUCCCUUAUUCAACUUCAUGAUGUGUGAGGCCAGGUUUCUUCAUAUCCUUUAAUCAAAUAACACAUGACAAUAGGCUGAAUGCAAAAUAUAUGUGAAUCUGCUUUGUAUGUUAAUAAGUCAGACAUUAAAGAUGUUGCAAACCUGAAACAAUGGCAUUCUUCUUACUAAUUUUGCUAUGGAUUUUUUUUCAUUAAAAUUUAUUAUUUAGAUUAACAUGUAACAGAUUUAUUACUGUUAUUUUAAGGGAAUCGAUAAAUGUUUUUAAAAGUUCUCUAAUUUCUGACUUGAUAAAUAUUACUAGACAUGACCCACAUAAACAAAACCUCUUUAGAAUCCUGUCAUUUUUAAGAGUGUAAAGGAGGCUCAGUUCAAAUCUUGGUUCUGCCAUUUACCAACUGUGCUAUCCUGGGCAAGUUACUUAACUGCUCUGUGCCUCAAUUCCUUUAUCAAUCAAAUAGAGAUAAUUUUAACCUAUCUCAUAUAGAUAAGUUGUAAUAAUUAAGCUUAACAUAUAUAAAGUGCUUAGAACAGCUCCUGGUAUAUAACAAGUGUUAUAUAAAGAUUCUAAUGAUAAUAGUUACUAUAACACAGCAUUGUAGUGCUGUGUUAUAAUAGCUAUUGGUUAUGGUCUGUGUUCCAGUCUGUUUUCCCCACCUGAGGCCUUGGGGCAGGCUGUGUGGCUCCCCCAAGAUCAGGGUCUGCUGUCUCUGAUUGAUCUCUGAGUCCUAGCACAAAGCUUGGCACCCAUUAGGUAGUCAUAAAGUUUGGUGAGGAAAUGAAUGAGUAGUUGGGGGAAGGCAGGACAAAUUCCAGACAUUCCUGAUAGGCAACGAAGUUCCCCUAUGAAGAGGCUAAAAUCCUAAGUGGUAAGAGUGAGACUGUAAGUGGAGGUGGAGGCACAAACGGGAACUGGAUUGAGGUGGGAGCAGGUAGAGUGAGAGUCUCAAACAUGUGCAGUAACUGACGGAAUAGCCCCUUAUGACAUACAGUCUGAUGCCUGGUGGGGAGGUGUGCCAGGCUGAAUGAAGACACCAGGUGAGACCGGCCCCACCUGCUGAUGGGGCUGGGUAACACAGCCUGCUUUAUUCCACCUGGAUGGCCUCCGAACCUUCAAGACACCUUGGUUAAUAACGGGAAUCUCUGCAUCUGCCGCCGCACUGCAUGGGGCUGGGGAGAUCAGAGAGAAAAGAGUUAGGCUGAAGCACUAAAUACUAGUCUCUCAUAAUUUCCGGAUCUACAUUUUACAUGACUUGGCGUGUUUGACCAUGUUGUAAUUGUAAAUGGUUACCUCAGUUAUUUUUGGACAUCCAGGAAGAAAGGGGAAAAAUGUAGCUCAGUACCUACCCUGCGUCAAGCACUUGAUUAAUGCUUUCACAUGUAAACCUCAAGACCACCUCAUGAGGAAAGUGCCCUUAUACCCAUAUUGGAUAUGAAGAAACUGAAGCUCAGGGGAUGUAAGUAAUGUCUCUGUGGUCACACUGCUAAUUGGUGGUCUAGCUGGGAUUGGAACCCAAGUCUGUGUGAAUACCAUGUCCCUACCCUUUAAAAAAGCAAAUUUUAUUUUAUUUUCUAUUACACAAGUAAGGCAUAUUAUCUAAAAUUGAGAAAAUACUGAUAAGUAAAAAAAUAAAAAUUAUCCAUAAAUUCUGCCAUUCAGAUAUAAGAGCUACAAUCACAUUGGUAUGUCUUUCCAGACUUUUUUUCCGCAUGUAUAUAUUUGUAACCAGCUUUUCUGCUUAACGAUAUAUCAUAAAUGUCUUUCUGCAUCUAUAAACGUAUUUCUGUAUCAUUUAAAAAGACUGCAUAGUAUUUCAUUUUAUGAAUGAACUGUUUAUUUAACUGAUCUUCCGUUGCUAAAUAUUUAGGUUAUAUCUAGCUUUUUACUAAUAUUAAAAAUGCUGCAGUAAGCAUCCUUGUAGUUUAAUCUGUGUGUGUAUUUUUACUUCCUUGGGAUAAAUUCCUAGAAGUGAGAUUGAUGAUUAAAAGCGCAUUUU